CAGGCUUAACACAUGCAAGUCGAGGGGCAUCAGGAAGAAAGCUUGCUUUCUUUGCUGGCGACCGGCGCACGGGUGAGUAACACGUAUCCAACCUGCCCUUUACUCGGGGAUAGCCUUUCGAAAGAAAGAUUAAUACCCGAUAGUAUAAUGAUUCCGCAUGGUUUGAUUAUUAAAGGAUUCCGGUAAAGGAUGGGGAUGCGUUCCAUUAGGUUGUUGGUGAGGUAACGGCUCACCAAGCCUUCGAUGGAUAGGGGUUCUGAGAGGAAGGUCCCCCACAUUGGAACUGAGACACGGUCCAAACUCCUACGGGAGGCAGCAGUGAGGAAUAUUGGUCAAUGGGCGCUAGCCUGAACCAGCCAAGUAGCGUGAAGGAUGAAGGCUCUAUGGGUCGUAAACUUCUUUUAUAUAAGAAUAAAGUGCAGUAUGUAUACUGUUUUGUAUGUAUUAUAUGAAUAAGGAUCGGCUAACUCCGUGCCAGCAGCCGCGGUAAUACGGAGGAUCCGAGCGUUAUCCGGAUUUAUUGGGUUUAAAGGGAGCGUAGGUGGACUGGUAAGUCAGUUGUGAAAGUUUGCGGCUCAACCGUAAAAUUGCAGUUGAUACUGUCAGUCUUGAGUACAGUAGAGGUGGGCGGAAUUCGUGGUGUAGCGGUGAAAUGCUUAGAUAUCACGAAGAACUCCGAUUGCGAAGGCAGCUCACUGGACUGCAACUGACACUGAUGCUCGAAAGUGUGGGUAUCAAACAGGAUUAGAUACCCUGGUAGUCCACACAGUAAACGAUGAAUACUCGCUGUUUGCGAUAUACAGUAAGCGGCCAAGCGAAAGCAUUAAGUAUUCCACCUGGGGAGUACGCCGGCAACGGUGAAACUCAAAGGAAUUGACGGGGGCCCGCACAAGCGGAGGAACAUGUGGUUUAAUUCGAUGAUACGCGAGGAACCUUACCCGGGCUUAAAUUGCAGUGGAAUGAUGUGGAAACAUGUCAGUGAGCAAUCACCGCUGUGAAGGUGCUGCAUGGUUGUCGUCAGCUCGUGCCGUGAGGUGUCGGCUUAAGUGCCAUAACGAGCGCAACCCUUAUCUUUAGUUACUAACAGGUUAUGCUGAGGACUCUAGAGAGACUGCCGUCGUAAGAUGUGAGGAAGGUGGGGAUGACGUCAAAUCAGCACGGCCCUUACGUCCGGGGCUACACACGUGUUACAAUGGGGGGUACAGAAGGCAGCUAGCGGGUGACCGUAUGCUAAUCCCAAAAGCCUCUCUCAGUUCGGAUCGAAGUCUGCAACCCGACUUCGUGAAGCUGGAUUCGCUAGUAAUCGCGCAUCAGCCACGGCGCGGUGAAUACGUUCCCGGGCCUUGUACACACCGCCCGUCAAGCCAUGGGAGCCGGGGGUACCUGAAGUACGUAACCGCAAGGAUCGUCCUAGGGUAAAACUGGUGACUGGGGCUAAGUCGUAACAAGGUAGCCG
rnacentral:rRNA from 1 species